rnacentral:lncRNA from 1 species
AAAAUCCUUCUCCUAUGCCUAAGGGAAAAGUGAAACAUUGUUGGGCAUUUUCAAUAUUAUCACCAAUAAAAAUACAAUUUUAUUCAUCCACAUCUAUGAUGUUUAUUUUUAGUUUUUUCUUUUUUUUCUUCUGAAAAAUGGUAAUCCCAAAAUACAUAAAUAAGCAACAAUUUUUCCCAUAUCUGCAUAAUAUUUGUUUGCA